AAUAAAUUUAUAAUGGAGGGAAGCAAAGAUAAGAUCACUUUUCAUAAAUCCUAAUGUUGCAAAUAUAUCGUAGAAGCUAUUUUAAGUUGGAUUCUAAUAAAUGGUCUGCAGACUAAAUGACGAUUCCAGUAAUAUUUUUACUGCGAAUGUCAUUAAGGAAACUAAUCAAUAAAAACGAAAAUAAUUAUAUAUAUACGUAUAAAGAAAAAAAGAAAAGGGGGGAAAAAAGCAGCAGUUAGACUAUUGAAAAUGGUAAAUUCCUUUCAAACUGUCAACAAAAUUUUGUCUUCUAUCGGGCGAAGCAGAGAUAAGAGUUGUGUAUUUGUCUCUUAGAACAGUAGAUUUCAAAAACGAGAUAAAAUAUUAAAAUGACCAAAUUGACAAAGAAAGAGACUUGAUCAGAACAAUAGAGUAUCAUGAAUUUUGUGCCACAUGACGUGUGAUUUAAUGUCUGCAUUCAUCAGCAUCCAAAAGCCAUACGAAUAGACUUGGAUCCAUUAAUAAUGUUUAUGGAAUUUUUCUACUCAUCGUCUGUCGGAGUCGAUGAUUAGGGAGAAAAGUGUAAAUCAUUGUUCUCACUAUUGCUUCAUUGGAUACAAAGCGGGUCUCCGUCAUCAAUUGUACUUUAAAAAAUUUUUCCCAAAUCUAGUUUAAUGAUGGUACGAAAGACUUUGAUAAAGAUUGUUAGAAAAUAAAGUUUUUAUAUAUAGAUUUAUGCUCUUCCAAUUUUUUCCCCGUUUUUAUUUUUUAUUUUAUUUUAUUUUUUUGGUCAGAUUUCCUUUAGCUGCUAUCCUUCGAAGUUCACUCGUUUUUGUAUUUUGGAUUUUGAGCUCUUUUCAGUUGAGUAGAAUAAAUUGUGACGACUGUACAAUGAUGUGCGAUUCUGAAUAGUACUUGGAGACGUAACAGAAAAGUAGUGUCCUAUAGAACUAUACAAUUCUAUCCAGAUGAAUUUCUACGCCAUUGUUAGUCGGGUUGAAUCGCAUAGUAAUGUAAUGUUCGAAAUUUUGGAUCGGAGUCAUGCGUUAUAAUACACGAAUUGUAUCAUUAAUAAACUCUUCUUGCUUAUUAUCCGAGUCUCGCCGUUAUGACGUCACAACUAUUGAUCUAAGUAGUCAUUUCUCAGAACAUUUGAUCAAUAACCGUUUCAAGAAAUGUGAUAUCAUUAAGAUAUUUUUGGUCUUCAAACGCUAAUUUUGUAGAGUCGAAAACUGAUUUAUACAAACUAGUCAAAUUCCAUUGAGGAAAACUUUUGGAUAACAAGCGAUUUUGGGGCCUAUUGUAUCCACGAGUCGUUCCACAGGCGUCAGUAACUAUGCUUCAAAUUGUACACUUUUCUGUCCCGGGAAUAGAUUCGAGUAUACAAGAAAUAAUCCAUUGUAAAGAUGGGUGAAAAGAGGGAGAAGAUUGUGCCAGAGGCAUGGUUGCCCCUGACGAAGACAAAAGAAUCCCAUAAUAAUCAAUCACAGGACACCCUUGGGCGAGGUGGGGACAGGCGACACCUGCAGACUAGACACCCCCUACAGAUUGGGGAAUGUUGUCCUUCAGUUUUGUUUCCUGAAAUUUGUAAUAAUCUGUCUAAUAAAACGUUAAAAAAAAUAUCUGAUUUGUUGAAAACGUCUACUUCCGUUUUAGAGCUUGUGAUUGCAUGUCAUCGUUUUAUAUAAAUAUAUAACCAUAAUUUUUAGAUGCAAAUUAAAACUGCUCUACAUAUGAAGGUUGUAUAUUAUCAGUUGUGUAAUUGGUUGACGUGAUGGGGAAAAUGAAACAUUGACACUCCUGCAGAUAACUCGCAACUUAAGUGGCAUCUAGUUACAACAGGAUGUUUCUUCUUCGUUAUUAUAGAAGGUGAAAGUCAAUAGAACGAGAGCAAAGUAUAUCCAAUCAAAAAUUAAUUUCUAUACGCAGACAUAGAAAAUGUGUUGUAAUGAUGGAGUAAUGAGAAUAAAUAACAUUGACUCGUCUGUCAUUACACAGUUAAGAAAGUAUAAUUUUUACGGGUCCCUAAGGUCAUGUUACACCCAGUGAAGGGGAAUAAACAGGUAGGUUAAAAGUUUUAUAAGGAAAACAUAAAUGUAAAAGAAUGAAGACAAAAUAUGUAUAUUUCUCUAUGUAUGAAGGAUUUCCUGUCGUUCUCUGAUACUUCAUGGCUUCUGGAAUCAAACGAGAAUGACGCUUGAUUUUACGAUUCGGUGGAUAGCAUUGGAUAUGUUAAUGGUCGCAGACAACCAUCCAGCUAAUGGUGCUGUGUCCACCGCCAUUCAGACAUCUAUACCACUUGGGACAUAGCAACUGGAGUAGCCACCUAAAUAUGUCACCCGUUGCUAUAGAAACAAGCAGUGCUGCUAUUUUGCACACAAUUGUGUCUAGCUAAUGAUAGUGCUUUUAGAGAGUGGCAGCAAAGAGUAGGCAGGAAGGUCACUUUUCACUCGAUGGAUUAAGAAAACCGAUAUUUUUCCACCGAUUCGCUUUAAGAAUUUUCAAUGCUGAUAAGCAACUACAUUCCAAACUUUUUUAAAACUCAUUUUUUCCGUUAAAUGAGCAAUUAGGCCUAAAUAGACAGGUGACCUGCUACCUUCAUCAUCAUUUUAAAAUACAACAAACUCGAUACAUAACAUUUCGUAACUAUAGUUUCUUCGCCCCGUCACGUGAUCGGAUAGGUCACCUUGCUAUGACGUCAUGCGACAAGCCAUGGGUGACAUUUCCCACGUUCACCUGGAUCCCGAACUUUUCCUAUUCUAUUGGACUGGCUUCACUUAGUUUCUCGAGUGGAUCUUUUGUGAUUAAGUAAUUACCAUCUGGACGAAGACAUUUCCUAAUAAGGACUCUAACUGCGUUCAUUUUGCACGGAGUUUGGACAUUAUGCGACUAAUUUUCUUCGGUUCGUCUACAAUUUAAAAUGCUGUAGAGUCGAUUGCUAAUGAAACUGAUUCGUUUAUAAUGAUUUCUCAGAGAAAACUAGUGACGCUUAUGAAUUCGUAAAGUGACGCGAUAUUAAAUACUGUUUUUACUCAACGAAAAACUUUAAUAUUUAUCGUAACGAAGUAAAAACAACUGAAUAAAUUCAUCAAAGCAGAUGUAAUAAAGUUGAAAGUGUUAUUGUUUUACUAAUAUCAUCCUAUAUAAUUUUAUCUUCCAGCUUCAGUUACCAGUUAAAUAAGACUUUAUACCGUAAUAUUUGAAUGAAUUAAUACGGUUUAAAUUAUAUUCUACAAUCCUAUAAUAUAAUGUGUUGUAAUAUAAUUAUAUGAAGUCAUU
rnacentral:lncRNA from 1 species